ensembl:rRNA 5S_rRNA 5S ribosomal RNA
GCAAGUAGCCAUAUCACUCUGCAACUCACAACUGGCAACCCACUGAAGCUAAGCAGGUGUGAGCCUGGUCAGUACCUGGAAGGGAGACCUCCUGGGAAAAACUAAGGUUGCUGCUGGAA